UUUGACAAUUAGUGUUUUGAG
ensembl:piRNA 21ur-3232 ncRNA